AUGGUGGCAAAGUCUAACCCCAUGGUUGUCAGGCUGAGUACUUUUGCUACCACUACCAAGGAGGAGAGGACCAUGGUGGAGGGGCGUUAUGAGCUCCAUGCUGAGGUCCAUGACGGUUAUCAUGUCCCUCGCCUCGGCCCUGGUUUCCACGAGAUCAAGCAUGGUUGCUUGGGCGGCUGUUUCCACGUUGGGAGGUGUUUCAGAAGGUCGCUAUUGAGUGGUCUGCAUGGCGGAAUGAGAACAAGUGCCGAUCAUUUUGGACAUAUCGGUUUCUUCCAAUGUGAGCAUGGAACAGGCUUGAUAAAAGGCAGGAAGAGGAUUACACUGGAUAAUCAAGGUAGCAACACUGCAGUAAGCUUCUAG